rnacentral:rRNA from 1 species
AAUGCGUAAAUAUCCGGAGGAACACCAGUGGCGAAGGCGGCACGCUGGCUGUACCUGACGCUAAGACGCGAAAGCAUGGGUAGCGAACGGGAUUAGAAACCCCGGUAGUCCAUGCCGUAAACGAUGUGCACUAGGCGUAGGAGACUAACUGUCUGCUGUGCCGCAGCAAACGCGAUAAGUGCACCGCCUGGGGACUACGUGCCGCAAGGCUAAUACUCGAAGGAAAUUGACGGGGGCCCGCACAAGCAGCGGAGCGUGUGGUUUAAUUCGAGGCUACGCGAAGAACCUUACCUGGGCUUGACAUCCUGGUGGUAGGGAACCGAAAGGGGACCGACCUUCGGGAGCCAGGACAGGUGCUGCAUGGCUGUCGUCAGCUCGUGCCGUGAGGUGUUCGGUUAAGUCCGGUAACGAGCGCAACCCUCGUCGCUAGUUACAAGUGUAUAGCGAGACUGCCCGUGGCAAGCGGGAGGAAGGUGGGGAUGACGUCAAGUCAGCAUGGCCUUUAUGUCCAGGGCUACACACACGGUACUAUGGCCGGUACAAUGGGUUGCCAACCCGCGAGGG